GGGGGGGGGCAUGCAGAUGAAGUAGUAUGCAGAAGGGCAGGAGAUGAGAAAUGGAGGAGGGUAUUUGGAUGAAAAAAGGAUGGAAUGACAGAUAAAUGAGAAAGAGGAGAUAGCUGUGUGUUUCCCAUAGAGCAGGGCUGAGGUUCAGGACAGUCAGCUCUGUCUGUGUGUUUCCCAUAGAGCAGGGCUGAGGUUCAGGACAGUCAGCUCUGUCUGUGUGUUUCCCAUAGAGCAGGGCUGAGGUUCAGGACAUUCAGCUCUGUCUGUGUGUUUCCCAUAGAGCAGGGCUGAGGUUCAGGACAUUCAGCUCUGUCUGUGUGUUUCCCAUAGAGCAGGGCUGAGGUUCAGGACAUUCAGCUCUGUCUGUGUGUUUCCCAUAGAGCAGGGCUGAGGUUCAGGUUCAGUCUCCUGUGUUGAGUUUCUCCUUUUGAGAUCACUCUAUGUAACUCCACAUGCAUCCAAAAUGGCACCCUAUCCCCUAUAUAGUGCACUACUUUAGACCAGAGCCCUAUAGAACCCUAUCCCCUAUAUAGUGCACUACUUUAGACCAGAGCCCUAUAGAACCCUAUUCCCUAUAUAGUGCACUACUUUAGACCAGAGCGCUAUAGAACCCUAUCCCCUAUAUAGUGCACUACUUUAGACCAGAGCCCUAAUGCUCCCUAUUCCCUAUACAGUGCACUACUUUAGACCAGAGCCCUAAUGCUCCCUAUUCCCUAUACAGUGCACUACUUUAGACCAGAGCCCUAUAGAACCCUAUCCUCUAUAUAGUGCACUACUUUAGACCAGAGCCCUAUAGAACCCUAUCCCCUAUAUAGUGCACUACUUUAGACCAGAGCCCUAUAGAACCCCAUUCCCUAUAUAGUGCACUACUUUAGACCAGAGCCCUAUAGAACCCUAUUCCCUAUAUAGUGCACUACUUUAGACCAGAGCCCUAAUGCUCCCUAUUCCCUAUACAGUGCACUACUUUAGACCAGAGCCCUAAUGCUCCCUAUUCCCUAUACAGUGCACUACUUUAGACCAGAGCCCUAUGGGGUAGUGCACCAAAUAGAGAAUAGGGUACUGUACAGUGAUAACCUGAGAAAAGCAGCUCUGCAAACAAAGCAAGGUGAGAGAGAGGCCGUGGGAGAGGGGGAGAGAGGGAACGAGGGAGUGGGUCGUAGAGGGAGAGGAGGAAGGGGGAUAUGGAGAGAGGGACGGUGAGAGAGAGGCCGUGGGAGGGGGG
ensembl:lncRNA